UUUCUCCUUCUCUCUCUACUCUCCAUCUCCUCAUGUUCUUUACUGUAUUCUCAUCCUCUCCUUUCUCAGUUGUCCUUCUCUGUCAUCGUAUAUGCUUUGAUUAUUCUUUAAUCAACGAACGAGUUUUGGUAUUGAUCCUUAAUUUGGUGAUAUUAGGGUUUCAAUAGAAUCCCUCUAUUUUAAAAAGAAGCUGUUGAAAAGAACCUGUUCGAUCCCUGAACUAUACUUAAACCUAACCGAAAGUUCUCUCUCCAUUCACAGUGGCUUUGCUGUAAACUUUUACUUCCCGUCAUAUGGUGAGUCGAGUUAAAAAUAAUGGUGUGUAGAAUCAUUUAAACUAUGAAAGAUUCAAAGGGGAUUAGGGCUACACGUGAUGGAAUUAAUGUCUUGAUAAUAAGCUCAAGAAGCCUGAAUCACUCGGGGUUGUAGUUUCAUUGAGUGAUUUUUCUCUUGAUUUAUGUCCUACGGGUUUGGAUAGGGUUUGAUUCACCGGUGCGCUGACGGGCUCGGUUUGGAAUUUUCAUACCAAAACAAACAUAGGUACAAUUUUUAUUUGAAAGAAAAGUGGAUAAACAACCCGACUCUAUGACUUUAUACUAGGUACCAGGAAUUGUUGCUGAGAAGAAAAAGAGCAGCCUGCUGCUGGAGUUCCCUUGGCCGGAGUUGGUGAGACCAUUUGCAAAUUUCCAUCAGACCCAACUGUGGUUUUAGGGAGUCUAUCAGUUGUAGCUCCUUUCAUCUGCACUGGACUUGGAUUCGUUUCUGUGUUUUAUCCUUACAAAAGCUAAUCUGUAUACGUUCCUAAAGAGGCACUGUUCCAAAGCACUGUCUUAGUUGUCUUCAUCUAGGUUGUUGUUUAAGUAAACAAUGCACUUGAUUUGAUCUAGAUGAAUGUUGUGUGGUUGUUUUGAUGAAACAGUUUACUUAGCCGUGUGUGUUUGUUUUGAUGAACAAGAUAAAUUCUUUCUUUGUGUGGUCUAUUGAU